rnacentral:rRNA from 1 species
AGUUCAAGAGUACGUGAAACCGCUCAGGGGUAAACGGAAAAGACCCGAAACACCGAAACGAGAGAUUCACGUCUUCUCGCAGGAGCAGGUCUCCGUCUGGGGGAUGGCCUAACGCCCCGUCCGGCUCGUCCGUGGCGGUGGGUAGGCUGCCCCCUGCGGGGUUCCCUGCUCCUCGGGGGCCCGCAAUUCUCUCGCAGUAGGACGUCGCGACCCGCUCUGCGGCGGUCUAACGGCCGGUAGAAUGCCUGGUCGGGGCCCAUCUCUCGGGGUGGGUUUCCGCUCAGCUCUCCGGACCCGCGACCGUCGGUCCGGGCGGUAUGAAACGACUUGGCGCUGGACCGCUCCUUCGAGAGCGCCUAGCCUCCCCGCAAGCUCGGGUAGGGCCGUCGGGUCGUCCCCUCACGGGUACGCUCGGCGUCCUCCCGGACUGUUGGUGGGUGACGGCUCAGGCUGACCGUCCAGCACGCUCGUCGGCGGCGCUUCAGAUUCGGGCACUUAUCCGACCCGUCUUGAAACACGGACCAAGGAGUCUAGCGUGUGCGCGAGUCAUUGGGUGUAAAACCUAAAGGCGUAAUGAAAGUGUCAGAGGGCGCUUGCGCUCUCGGUGGGAGGAUGGGCUCCCGGAUGUCACUCCGGUGCCCCGCACUCCCGGGGCGUUUCAUUCUCAAUUUACGAGUCGAAACGCACCAGGAGCGCACACGCUGGUACCCGAAAGAUGGUGAACUAUGCCUGGCCAGGACGAAGCCAGGGGAAACCCUGGUGGAGGUCCGAAGCGAUUCUGACGUGCAAAUCGAUCGUCUGAGCUGGGUAUAGGGGCGAAAGACCAAUCGAACCAUCUAGUAGCUGGUUCCCUCCGAAGUUUCCCUCAGGAUAGCUGGCUCUCGGGAAGAGACGAGUCUCAUCCGGUAGAGCGAAUGAUUAGAGGUGAUGGGGUCGAAACGACUUCAACCUAUUCUCAAACUCCCAAUAGAUGAGAGCCCCGGCUUGCUUGAAAGUGAAGCCGCGGGACUCGGAUCAGAGGGCCAAGUGGGCCAAUUUUGGUAAGCAGAACUGGCGCUGUGGGAUGAACCAAACGCAGAGUUAAGGCGCCUGAUUCGACGCUCAUCCGAAACCAUGAAAGGCGUUGGUUGCUUAAGACAGCAGGACGGUGGCCAUGGAAGUCGGAAUCCGCUAAGGAGUGUGUAACAACUCACCUGCCGAAGCAACUAGCCCUGAAAAUGGAUGGCGCUGUAGCGUCGUGCCUAUACUCUGCCGUCAACGGCAAAGCGGGCGGUCCCUCACGGGGCGCUGCCGUUAAGCCUUGACGAGUAGGAGGGUCGCGGCGGUGUGCGCGGAAGGGUCUGGGCGUGAGCCCGCCUGGAGCCGCCGCCGGUGCAGAUCUUGGUGGUAGUAGCAAAUACUCCAGCGAGGCCCUGGAGGACUGAUGUGGAGAAGGGUUUCUUGUGAACAGCUGUUGCACAAGAGUCAGUCGAUCCUAAGCCCUAGGAGAAAUCCGAAGCGAUGGUCUGCCGUUAAAUUUCAGAUUUACCGCGAGGCUUUAUGAGUCGCUCACAGUGAGAGUGACUUUGGAUUAUCGCGGUUAAACCUUGAGAUGGCACCGUCUGGGCGAAAGGGAAUCCGGUUCCUAUUCCGGAACCCGGCAGCGGAACCGCUCCAAUUCGGGCCCUCAUCCGAGGACUCGUCGGGGUGACCCGAAAUGACCCGGAGAAGCCGUAGGGAGGUCCGGGGAGAGUUGUCUCUUCUCUAUAAGCGUUCGAGUUCCCUGGAAUCCUCUAGGAGGGAGAUAGGGUUUGGAACGCGAAGAGCACCGCACUUACGGCGGUGUCCGGAUCUUCCCCUCGGACCUUGAAAAUCCGGGCGAGGGCCACGAGGAACACCGCGCCGGCUCGUACCCAUAUCCGCAGCAGGUCUCCAAGGUGAAUAGCCUCUAGUCGAUAGAAUAAUGUAGGUAAGGGAAGUCGGCAAACCCGAUCUGUAACUUCGGGAUAAGGAUUGGCUCUGAGGAUCGUGGCGUGCCGGGCUUGGUCGGGAAGUGGAGCGGUGCCAACGUGCCGGGCCUGGGCGAGGUGAAGGGCGCUCGUCGUCCGGACCCUAGCUCGGUCCCGUGCCUUGGCCACCCACGGACCUUCCUUGCUGCGAGCCUCCCGGCUGUCUAGUUUCCGGCCCAGCCGGAGGACGGGCCGGAAGGCUCUUCGGUCGCCAUAGAACGAUCAACUUAGAACUGGCACGGACCAGGGGAAUCCGACUGUCUAAUUAAAACAAAGCAUUGCGAUGGCCCUAACGGGUGAUGACGCAAUGUGAUUUCUGCCCAGUGCUCUGAAUGUCAACGUGAAGAAAUUCAAGCAAGCGCGGGUAAACGGCGGGAGUAACUAUGACUCUCUUAAGGUAGCCAAAUGCCUCGUCAUCUAAUUAGUGACGCGCAUGAAUGGAUUAACGAGAUUCCCUCUGUCCCUACCUACUAUCUAGCGAAACCACGGCCAAGGGAACGGGCUUGGAAGAAUCAGCGGGGAAAGAAGACCCUGUUGAGCUUGACUCUAGUCUGGUACUGUAAGGAGACAUGAGAGGUGUAGCAUAAGUGGGAGGCGGCUCGCCGUCGACAGUGAAAUACCACUACUUUCAUAGUUUCCUUACUUACUUGGUGAGGCGGAAGGCGUCCGUCGGAGUGUCUGCACUCCGGCGCGACGGUAUUCUCGCACCAAGCGCCAAGGGUUGUCGGCGUCCGGCCGGUCGUGGGGAGGCCCGCGGUGGUCCGCUUCGCGGCGGUUCUGCCGUGCGUGUCGUCUCUGCGCUCUCGGUCGCGCCGUC